rnacentral:tRNA from 1 species
GUGACCGUAGCUCAGCUGGUUAGAGCGCCAGAUUGUGGCUCUGGAGGUCGGGGGUUCGAAUCCCCUCGGUCACC